AAGCAUAUCAAUAAGCGGAGGAAAAGAAACUAACAAGGAUUCCCCUAGUAACGGCGAGUGAAGCGGGAAGAGCUCAAAUUUGUAAUCUGGCACUUUCAGUGUCCGAGUUGUAAUCUCUAGAAGUGUUUUCCGUGCCAUAUCGCAUAUAAGUCUGUUGGAACACAGCGUCACAGUGGUGAGAACCCCGUAUUUGAUGCGAAUGUUGGUGCUCUGUGAUACACUUUCAAAGAGUCGAGUUGUUUGGGAAUGCAGCUCAAAAUGGGUGGUAAAUUCCAUCUAAAGCUAAAUAUUGGCGAGAGACCGAUAGCGAACAAGUACCGUGAGGGAAAGAUGAAAAGCACUUUGGAAAGAGAGUUAAAAGUACGUGAAAUUGUUGGAAGGGAAACGCUUGCAGUCAGACUUGCUUUGUGGAGCUCGCUUCAUUUGGCAGGCCAGCAUCAGUUUUCGUUGGUACAAAAGGGUAGGGAGAACGUGGCAGCUCCGGCUGUGUUAUAGCUCCUUACUGGAUGUAUCUCUGGGGACUGAGGAACGCAGUGUGCUUUUUGCGCAGGUCUCGACCUGUUCACACUUAGGAUGCUGGUAGAAUGGCUGUAAACGACCCGUCUUGAAACACGGACCAAGGAGUCUAACAUGUUUGCGAGUAUUUGGGUGUCAAACCCGGAUGCGUAAUGAAAGUGAAUGUAGGAGGGAUCCGCAAGGUGCACCUUCGACCGAUCUGGAUUUUUUAAGAUGGAUUUGAGUAAGAGCAAUUAUGUUGGGACCCGAAAGAUGGUGAACUAUGCCUGAAUAGGGCGAAGCCAGAGGAAACUCUGGUGGAGGCUCGUAGCGGUUCUGACGUGCAAAUCGAUCGUCAAAUUUGGGUAUAGGGGCGAAAGACUAAUCGAACCAUCUAGUAGCUGGUUCCUGCCGA
rnacentral:rRNA from 1 species